AAACUGCAGAUGUGGCAUGCCAAAGAUCCUGGAAUCAGUGGGUCAUUUCAUUUGCGAUGUUGCAUGAAGACCGGGUUGGCUUCAUCUGAGGUCCUCUGAGGGGUUGGCAUCAUCUCUUCUCAUGUGUUCGGUCAUCUCAGAUCUUUUAAGGGUUGGAUCCAGACUGAAGCUUGUGUAAUUUUCCGUGGCAGAAACAGAGAAACAAACAGAGACAUAAUUAGCGUAGCUGCUGUUCCAACCAAGCAAAAAAUAUUUGUUCAACCCAAGCUAAAGAAUAAUAAUGUGCAUUUGAUCAGAUAUAACUGCCGUACAAGAUUAUGCAUUAUGUGAAUGCUUGGCUAAAGAGAUGUCUUUAAUCUAGAUUUAAACAGAGAGAGUGUGUCUGAACCUGAAUUUGAAUUUGACACAGUAAAUCAUUCAAUACUUUUAGACAAGUCAAGUGUCAUGGGUUUUUCAAGUAAAGUGAUAGCCUGGUUGAAAUCUUAUUUAACCGGGAGAGUUCAGAGGGUAGAAAUUGAUGGGGUUCUCUCUGAGGAAACUUUGGUUACAAAUGGAGUCCCUCAGGGAAGUGUUUUAGGCCCUCUUUUGUUUCUUUUAUACAUAAAUGACAUGCAAGCAGUUUGUGAUUGUAAUUUGUUUUUAUAUGCUGAUGAUUCUGCUUUAUUAAUUUCAGACAAGGAUGUUGGUAGGAUACAAGUGAAUUUAGUGCCAGUGUACCUGUUACCGGGAGUGGAGUUUGUGCUUUACAUCAAGGACCACAAUGGAAAC